rnacentral:ncRNA from 1 species
AUAAUUUAAUAUUAAAAAGGUGCUUGGUGCAAUUAUUAAUUGCAGGCCAAGAGAAUAGGGAAAUGGGUGAAAGUCCCAUACGGUCCCGCCGCUGUAAUGGAGGAGUAGAAGCCAUAAUUAUUUCUAAAAUGUAAUCUGAUUUUUAUUAUAUUCUGAAAUAAUUAUAAAAUCACUGUAUAUUUUUAGUAUAUGGGAAGAUGGAGUACUGCUAAGAUACCUAAGUCAGAAGACCUGCCUUUUUAAUAGGCUAUUAC